UACGUAGGGGGCGAGCGUUGUCCGGAGUUACUGGGCGUAAAGGGCAUGUAGGCGGUCACGUCAGUUUCUGGUGACAGGUUCCGGCUUAACUGGGACAGGCCUGGAAAGACGGCGUGACUUGAGAGCUUCAGAGGGAUGCGGAAUUCCAGGUGGAGCGGUGAAAUGCGUAGAGAUCUGGAAGAACACCGAAGGCGAAGGCAGCAUCCUGGGAAGAGACUGACGCUGAGGUGCGAAAGCUAGGGUAG
rnacentral:rRNA from 1 species